CAGUCGCCGCGGUAAUACGAAGGGGGCUAGCGUUGCUCGGAAUGACUGGGCGUAAAGGGCGCGUAGGCGGCGGCCAAAGUCAGGCGUGAAAUUCCCGGGCUCAACCUGGGGGCUGCGUUUGAUACUUGGUUGCUUGAGUGGGGAAGAGGGUCGUGGAAUUCCCAGUGUAGAGGUGAAAUUCGUAGAUAUUGGGAAGAACACCGGUGGCGAAGGCGGCGACCUGGUCCUUGACUGACGCUGAGGCGCGAAAGCGUGGGGAGCAAACAGGAUUAGAUACCCCGGUAGUCCCUGUCUCUUAUAC
rnacentral:rRNA from 1 species